GGAAACGAGUUAUCUGAACCUUCGGGGAACGAUAACGGCGUCGAGCGGCGGACGGGUGAGUAAUGCCUAGGAAAUUGCCCUGAUGUGGGGGAUAACCAUUGGAAACGAUGGCUAAUACCGCAUGAUGCCUACGGGCCAAAGAGGGGGACCUUCGGGCCUCUCGCGUCAGGAUAUGCCUAGGUGGGAUUAGCUAGUUGGUGAGGUAAGGGCUCACCAAGGCGACGAUCCCUAGCUGGUCUGAGAGGAUGAUCAGCCACACUGGAACUGAGACACGGUCCAGACUCCUACGGGAGGCAGCAGUGGGGAAUAUUGCACAAUGGGCGCAAGCCUGAUGCAGCCAUGCCGCGUGUGUGAAGAAGGCCUUCGGGUUGUAAAGCACUUUCAGUCGUGAGGAAGGUGGUGUAGUUAAUAGCUGCAUUACUUGACGUUAGCGACAGAAGAAGCACCGGCUAACUCCGUGCCAGCAGCCGCGGUAAUACGGAGGGUGCGAGCGUUAAUCGGAAUUACUGGGCGUAAAGCGCAUGCAGGUGGUUUGUUAAGUCAGAUGUGAAAGCCCGGGGCUCAACCUCGGAAUAGCAUUUGAAACUGGCAGACUAGAGUACUGUAGAGGGGGG
rnacentral:rRNA from 1 species